AAAAACAACAACGUAAUGUCUUCCUAUCGCAGUUAUACACCCUGGAAGUCCAGCCUGGGCAGCUCUUACAAAACAGGCAGCUCUUCGUAUGGAGCUGGAGGCGACUCCACAUCGCGUUACAGUUCCCUGGCCACGCCCAGCGCCUACAGACCAUCAUUCUCGGGCGGGACAUACCGCCUCAAGCGAGAUCCACCCACAUCGGCAGCCCCACCGCCCGUCACCAGCUACGUGAGUCGCUAUGCCAAGACAGAGCCCAAGGAGACGGCCGCCAGCGAGCGGACCAGUCCCAUCAAGCGGUACACGGGGGGAGCUGGGACGAGCAGCAGCACGCUGGGAAAGUACGGCAGAUCCAGGGAUCCCAGUCCCGUGGCCCUGGAGCACACGAAUCGAGGUAAAUCGAGGGAUCCGAGUCCAGUCAUCGACAGCGGGAGGAGCAAACUGGGGGCCACAUAUCGCAGUGGAAACACCUCGACCUCCUCCUCGUCGUCGGGUGCGAGGAAUGGGUACGGCAGUCGCUUUGGCCCCGCCGCUUCAAGGAUCAGCAAUGGCAGCAGCAAUGGAAGUGCCAUCUCCUACUUGACCACCAGCGACUUUCAUGCGAGAACGGCCAGUCGAGCCAGGGCCAGCAGGGAGAAGGAGCAGGAGGUCACCGCAAGUCCCCCAGAGAAGGCCAGGGAGGAAGAGCCAAAGGGCAAACAGCAGGCCAGCCCCGAGAAGGAGCAGGAACAGAAGAAGGUUGCACAGGACCUGCAGCCCGAGGAAACCUUCGUCUCCGUGUCGGUGGUUACGCGUGCCACUUCGCCCACACCACCGGGGAGUACCACCGUCCAGCGUACGCGCCGCAUCGACAUUGCCAAGACCAUCGAGAAGACCAUCCAGCGAUCGACGAAGCCCCGCCAGAUGCUGGAGAAGGAGAUCCAAUCGGACAGGAUGGACGAUUCCACGCGAUAUCUGCGGUACAGCGGUGGCAGCAGCAGCCUCAGCUCCACCUACAGCCCGCACAGGGAUCGGAUCAGCAGCCUCCGUUACAGUGCCAGUCCGCUGUCCAACAAGUCCGUGUCCCCCUCCGUGGAGGGGAAGUCACAGUCACCAGCGGAGGUCCCCAGUCCACCGUCCAAGAGUAAUGGCUCCUUGAGUAAUGGGAGCUCCGCCAAGUCGUCCUCCGCCUCCGCCAGCAAAUCGAAGCUCUCUCCGCCCAAGGCCAUACGUCUGAAUGCCUCACGUCAGUCCUCCGUGGAGAAUUUGGCCAAUAAGCCACCAGCAGCACCCACCAAAAGCGAAUCACCCACCAAGACCUGCUCCAGCUCCAGUUCGGGCAGCUCUGCCGUCAAAUGGCCCAACAAGGACUUCCGCAAGAGCUCCCUGAAUGUGGGACCCACGGACAGGCCGCGCAAAUCGCGCACUCCCAGUGGCGGGGAGUCCGAGGACGUGGUGACCAAUGGAGGGUCUGCCCAACUAGAACGCUCGCCCAGUGCGGGCUCUGAGGGGAGUCUGGCUUCGGCUGGCUCCUCCGGAAAGAAGAGCUCCAAGCUGAGCAAUGGCAAAACGUCCUCCUCAACGGGUAGUCGUCAGAGCACAUCGACGUCCUCCGCGGCCGCCUCCUCCACCUCCGCCUCGGACAGCGAGCAGCGGGUGAAGACCGUUAAAAAACAGAGCAAAAAGAAGACGCCCAAAGAAGGCAAGGUCGUUGCCGGCAAUGCCGGCCAAUCGUUGCCCAACCAAAAUAGCCGCAAAUCGAAUACGCCAGCACCUGAGUCACCUUCACUAGAGGGCCACGAUCCCCAACCGAAUGAGAGUCCGGUGGCGGCACCACCACCGCACCGAUCGCCACAAACGCGUCGUCUGCAGAAGCUCUCGUCGGUGUCGAAUUUUUUCGCAAAUCGUCAGCAAGACGCAAAUAGUGAACCGAUCUUCCUCGAAAGCUCGGAGAGCUCUGGGGAACCGGAGGCCCCACCAUCGAUCAGUCUGGCCACAGAUCUUAACACGAACGAACCGCGAACGAAAUCGACAAAAACGACGCCCACGAGCGAAGCGAAUACCUCAACGAGAUCCCCACUGACGACCCCCAGUUCGAGUACGCGCUGUCCCGCCACCACAAGGAUCACCACUGCCACCACCCCAACGACGAUCAGCAGCAGCAGCACCACCACCACCACGCAGGACACCAGCCUGAGCACCACCUCCGAGCAGGACCCCAGCCAAGAGGAGCCCAGCUGGUGGCAGGACACCAGUCUCCAGAUAAACACAGCCUCCGCUUUGGAUCAGAACAAUCAGAACGGGGAAAUGCCUCCCUAUAGGCUACGGCACAUUGAUUCCGGUGAGGAGCAGGCCUGGUGGCUGCGCCGUAGUGAGGCGGAUGAUGAGGGUGAUGAUGAUACGCUGGCAGAGGAGACUCUGAACCCGCUGGACGAUGAUCCCAGUCACUGGAGUAGCCAGGAUCACGACUUGGAGACGAUAUCCAAGGUCAAGCAGAUGCCAAGGAGCCGCAUCUCACCGGAGCAGGAUGCCUGGUGGCUGGAGGAGGAACAGGAACAGCAGCCCCAGUCUCAGGCAAAGAUGGAGUCGCAGUCACCUCAGACCCGUUCCCUGCCACAGUCACCGCCGCAGUCCCGAUCUCUGCCCCAAUCCCCCCUGCAACUGCAGUCCCCUCUCCAUUCAAAUGGCUACCACGAGGACGAGAACAACAACAACAACAACAAUGAGACGCAUGUGGAGGUGACCUUGAAACUACCGAGUGGUUCCAAAAGCUCCAACUCGAAAAGCCACAGCGACGAGGGACCCAAGCACUGGUGGAUGUCCGGACCCACCAAAAAGCUGUUCAAUGUCCAACGCGUGGAGUCCGGAGAGCGGGCCUGGUGGCAGGACAGUGAAAAGGAAAAAGAGAAGGAGAAAGAGAUGGAACCACCGCCAGUGAAGCCACCCACACCCCCGCCUUGCAUCAUCAAGCACUGGGAGUCGGGAGAGCGGGCCUGGUGGCUGCAGGACGAGCCAGAAGCAGCGCAGUCGGCAGCAGUUGCAGUUGCUGCCGCUGCCAACGCCAGCAGCGACGAGGAGGAGGAAGAGGAGCAGCAGGCCAGAGAUGAGACAGAUCAAAGGCGCAGGAAUCCGCAGCAGCAGCACCAACUGGACACGCCACACGAGCUGAGCAGCUCCUUCCACUUUUCCUACACCGAACGCCCGCCGCCACUGGGGCAGUGCGCCAGUCCCGUGCCGACAGAGCAGCGACCGCGCUGUCCCUCGCCCUACGACAACAUUCCAAUGGGAAGAGCCCACAUGCCGGCAGCGCAGUCAGCGCCACCGACAUCGCUGCAGCCACGCUUCUCCCCACAGGUGAGGCGGCCCGGCGAGAAGCUUUUCAUCUCGCGGCAUCAGAAUAUCGACGAGCUUUUGGGUGGCGCUUGCCGGCCGCUCAGUCCGCUCUUCUACAACAACAGCAGCAGCGAUGCGACGCCGGAAAGCGGCACGAAUAUGUUCCUGCUGGAGGAGAGCUCCUCCCUGGCCAGCAAGAAUAUGUUCCUCCUGGAGGAGAUCACGCCGGAUCAGGUGCGCAUCCACGAUAGCACCGCUCAGCGGCCGGUCAUCCAGCGCAUGCAAAGAGACGUGGAGUGGUUGGAGAAUGGCAGCAACUUUUACGAGCCACCAAAGCAGCACCAUCAGCAGCAGCAGCAGCGGAGGAUCGAUGAUGCAGCCAUUCAGGUGUACAAGGAUGGGGACUAUGGUGCCUAUUUGGACCUGGAAUCAUCGCUGGCCGAACAGACCGAAGAGAUCGAGGGCCUGAAUGCCAGCCGCAAAAACUCUCUGGUGGUACGCACACAACUGAAUGUGCGCGUGCAUUCGAUUAUUGAAAAACUACUUUCAUCGGAGGGCAGCGACCUGCGACGUGCGUUAUUCUCAUUGAAGCAGGUGUUCCAGGAGGAUAAGGAUCUGGUGCAUGCCUUUGUGGCCCUCGGCGGUCUCAAUUGUCUGGUGCGCGUGGGCAAUUGCGCAGAUCAAAACUAUCAGAAUUAUAUACUGCGUGCCCUGGGACAGGUCAUGCUCUAUGUGGAUGGAAUGAACGGCGUGAUGAAGCAUGAGCCGACAAUGCAAUGGCUGUACUCAUUGAUUGCCUCCAAUUACCGAUCCGUGGUGAAGACGGCCCUCAAGCUGUUGCUGGUGUUUGUGGAAUAUGCCGAGUCCAAUUGCUAUGUGCUGGUCAGUGCCAUACACGCGGUGGAUGCCACACAGGGCACGUUGCCAUGGUCGAAUAUAAUGAGACUGCUCAAGGACUAUGACAAUGCAGAUGCCGAACUGGUGAUCUAUGCCACAUCGUUGAUCAACAAAACCCUCGCUGGACUGAACGAUCAGGACACGUUCUACGACGAAAGCGAUCUACUGGAGCAGCAGGGCAUGGAGACGGUCAUCCAGCGUUAUAUGUCCAAGCCGGGCACCGAUCUGGAUCUGCUCGAUCAGCUGCAACUCUACGAGGCUGUACUCAAAUUCGAAGAUGGCGAAUCUGAUGGCCAGCGGCUGCCCCAAAACUCUAUGCGCAAGACUCAGCGCUAUCGUCCGGGCUCGAACACCACAGAGCGACGCAAAUCGCGACGCCACAGCACCGACAACAGUCCUGCGCCCAUCACCAAGGUCCUGGCCACAACCCUACUGCGUAUGACGCCCACACAGGGAACCCUGGACGAGGAUAGCUCGGGUUCCACCAACUCCACGGAGUUCAGUGGCGGCCUGUUCAACGAGAAGAAGCCACGCGAUGGUGCGGGAGUCACGCCGGGCCUUAGGCGUCGUCGGGAGCGCGCAGAGCGGCACAAGAGCUUCCUCAAGGAGCAACAGGAGGCAGCGGCCAAUGGGAUAUUUGCCGCCCUAGAGCAGCGCGAGGGUUUGGGCCAAAUCGUAACAGCCAUUCCUGCCACCAUACAAAGCGGCGACAGUCCGCCGCAGUCAUUGCAGCACGAGCUGCCGCUGCAGCCGUGCAACAAUAAUAUUAGCAGCAACAGCAACAAUGACACGCCCAAUAACAGCCUGCUGCUGAGUCCCAGCAAGCAGCUGCUAAGCGGCAGCCACAGCAUCUCGAUCAUCAACAACAGCUUCGACAAGGCCAACAACAACAAUAACACCAACAAUCAGAACGAGUUCCUUACGAAAAAGAAUCUCUUCCGCGAACGGAACGCCACUGUGAUCAAUGGGAUCAUGAAGAACAUCCAGCAGACGGCGGACAGUGGCUACAAGAAGUACGAGAAUGAUGCGAAUCGCCUGAAUAACUACUACACGCAGAUGAGUCAAUCGCCCAAGCAUCAGCUGCAGCAGCAGGAUCCCGAUGGAGUCCUGCUCAGUCCUAAGAAGUCGCUGAAUGCGUCAGGAUUUGAUUUCACGCCCGUUCCGCUCAGCUCCACGCCGGUUAAGGGAGAUAUCCCACCAGAAGCAGAGCCACUGAGUCCCAUACAGAAACCCAUGGCAUUGGCAUCACCACCACCGCCACCGCCGCCGCCACCACCACCGCCACCCACCUGGUGGCAUGCCCCCAUUGGCAGCGUUGCGACCAGAACCCUAACCAGUACUAACCCCGCUGUGGAUACCCCAACAGAUCUGGACAGCGAGGGGAAGCAGCAACAGCAGCUGCUGCAGCUGCAGCUGAAGCGCGACCACACGGUCAAGGAUCUGACACAGAAGCUAAGCAAUCUGCCCACAAGUCCCACACAGGAGCCAGGCAAUCGCUCUGCCAUUGUCGGCGAUAUGUCCGGCCUUAUAUCGAAAGCCAAAGAGGGACUGGCCAAGAGCAAAAGCAAGGGGGAAAUAUCAAGAUCAUCGAGUGUGGAUCAGGAGCUGAAGAAGUCCGAGCCGAAGAAAUCAGAGAACGAGCUGCACUGGGAGGAACUGGUGCGGAAUAUGACGCGACCCUUGAACCUCUGCGACCUGGACUUUACCGAUCUUCACGAUGACGAUGAGAAGGAUGUGCUGGCGCCACGUGGCCUGGGAGUCGGAAUACCGCCACCACCGCCGCCGUUCGCAGGCGGUGGAGGCAUACUGCCACCACCCAUGAUGCCACCAGCACCCAGCUUGAUCCCUCCCCCCAUGUUUGGGUAUGGUGGGAGCCUCACCAACAGUGUGAAUAGCUCCCUGAAUGGAUCCGUGAAUGGGGAUCUGGCUAAUGGGAAUAACACGAUCAAGAAGAACAAGAAGACGGUCAAGCUCUUCUGGAAGGAAGUGCGCGAAGACUUGAUACCCCAGGUGGUGGGUAAGACAAUUUGGGAUGAGUUGCCCAAUGCCAAUGUGGACACACAGAAGCUCGAGCAUCUCUUUGAGUCCAGAGCCAAAGACUUGAUGACCAAGAAACAACAAGAGCUAAACAAGAGCAAAGAGAUCAUUGUGCUCGAUCACAAACGUUCCAAUGCCAUCAAUAUAGCAAUCACCAAGCUGCCGCCACCGCGUGCCAUUAAGGCGGCCAUCCUGAAGAUGGAUGCCACCGUGGUGACUCGGGAGGGCAUUGACAAGCUGCUGAAUAUGCUGCCCACCGAUGAGGAGCGUGGCAAGAUCCAAGAGGCACAGCUGGUUAAUCCGGAGCUACCUUUGGGCAGUGCCGAGCAGUUCCUCUUGACGCUGGCCUCCAUCUCCGAGCUGGGCUCACGUCUGAAGCUGUGGGCCUUCCGCCUGGACUUUGACAACAGCGAGAAAGAAAUUGCCGAACCACUGAUGGAUCUCAAGCAAGGCAUUGAGAUCUUGCGUCAGAAUCGCACCUUCCGCAGCAUUCUCUCUACCCUGCUGUCCGUGGGCAUUUUCCUGAAUGGGGCACCCGUCAAGGGCUUCCAGAUUGAGUACCUGGCCAAGGUGCCAGAAGUGAAGGACACCGUCCACAAGCAUUCGCUGCUGCACCAUCUCUGUCACAUGGUCAUGGAGUCGAGCAGCGACACGAGUGAUCUGUACUCGGAAAUCGGUCCCAUUACGCGUGCCUCCAAGGCUGACUUUACCGACCUGGCCCACAACCUCACGCAACUGGAGGCCGAGUGCAAGGCCUCCUGGGAUCGCUUGAAAGUGAUAGCCAAACACGACUGCCCGCCACCGCUGAAGCAGAAGCUCGUGGACUUUCUGGCCGAUUGUGCGGAGCGCAUAAUCAUCCUGCAGAUCGUCCAUCGGCGCGUGAUGAAUCGAUACCGCAAGUUCCUUCUGUGGCUGGGCAUGCCCCAGCACAGUGUGGCCGAGUCCAGGCCCAAUGAGUUCUGCCGCACCCUGUCCGAGUUCGCUUUGGAGUACCGCACGACCAGGGAGCGAGUGCAGCAGCAGCUGGAGAAGAAGGCCAAUCACCGCGAGCGCAAUAAAACGCGUGGCAAGCUGAUCAUCGAUAUGGCCAAGUUCAAGACCAAAGAGGAUGUGGCCGAUGCAGAGUUGAAAACCCUUCUGGGCACACCCAGUGCAGAUCAGGCGGAUGGCACUCUCACCUGGCGACGUCGGCGCGCGGAGCAACUCCGCUCGCCCAUUGCCCGCCAGAGCGAGGAGCAGUUCACCGAUGGCGAUGAUGAGAUACUCGAAUCUCUGGUUAAGACCGCCACCAAGGCGCCGGGCACUCGGACCACACCCAGGGAGCGCAAGAGGACGCGCAAUGCGGAUCGCAAAUCAUUGAAGCGCAGCCGCACGCGCGAAGGAUUCACAGUUGAAAGAGCACCAUCGCCAUAGAAACCGUAACCGUUACCGUUAGCGUUUAACCGUAGCCGUAAACCGUAAACCGUAACCGUAACCGUUACCGAAAGAAACAGCCAACUGUUUUUUUAGGUCUUACCUUUUUGUGCGUCGCACGCUUAAGAACGGUCUGACCGAUGAGGAGAAACAACAUGUGGCUGCCUUGAUACAAACCUAUUAGGAUCUAGAUCUGGAGAGAUGUAUAUUUCCAUAGAGAACCCAGUCCAACACCCCCCACCCCCCCAGUGAUGUCACGAGUCGGGCUAUGCGCGCAACAGACUGAUAUUGGCGAUCUCGGACGAGCAGAGCAGCGAAAGCAAGCGAAACCCCCAGAAAAAACCCCUUUUAUACGACACACCACAUUAUCAGCAUCACAAAAUAACGAAAAUGUCCUUAAAAGAAUGCGUUUUUUCAUAGUGUUUUAUCCUGUUAUUAAUAUAUAAUUAUUUUUUUUUUGCUU